CUUUGACCUCGGAUCAGGUAGGGAUACCCGCUGAACUUAAGCAUAUCAAUAAGGCGGAGGA
rnacentral:rRNA from 1 species